GGACCCAAGAAGAGCCUAACUAGAAGUUGUGAAGUUGCCCAUAAUCUCUGAGGAGCUUCAAGCACUCCCAUACAGCCAUCCUGUUUAGAAUAUCCUUGACCAGGGGAAAUGGGGCCAUAGAAAGCCCCCCUUGGGGGUUGGGGAUUUAGCUCAGUGGUAGAGCGCUUGCCUAGGAAGCGCAAGGCCCUGGGUUUGGUCCCCAGCUCCGGAAAAAAAAAGAAAAGAAAAAAAAAAGAAAGCCCCCCUUUCUCUCUUCUCACUAACAUUAUCUUUGUAGACUCUGCCUAGUCCUGCCUCUAUUUUCUCUUCAGGCAUUUUGAACUUUUGAAGAAUGCCUCAUGUGUGCACAGAGGUUAGUCCCCUGAGGCCAACACACCACCUUCCAGUGCUUGCCUUAGCUACCAACCAUAGUGCCUCAGACUUUACGAAUGUUUAAGGGGCAGUUAUAGUCUCCCUGGCUGCCAACAGGGGUUUCCAUAGGAAGGUCUGACUGCUAUGUAUGUUAGAUGAGAAAAAUCCUUCAAGAGCGUAUUCAGAGAGCUGUGUGGGUCUGGGUAUUAGGACUCCUCACCAUGGGAGCCUUUGGUAUAGAGAGACCCACAGUAGAUGUGGGCAGGGGCAAAGGUGGUGUGGUAAGGAGAAUGUCCCAGACAGAGGCACAAGUCUACCCCUCAAUGCUAUGAGUUCUGCUUGGUGCCUAGACUUCAUCUCAAGAGUCCUGCCUGCUUGCCUGUUGCAAAGAGUCCAAGUAAACUGUUCUCACCACCAGCCUGCUUCAGACGCCAGCUGCAUUCAUCCGUCAGGAAAAAGGAGGCCAAGUUCUAGCCUUGGGCCUACAGGUCCCCCCACCAGCUACAUGUCAUCAGCAGGUUCUUCCCGUUUCCUGACAUCUUGGACUGGUGGUCUCUCCCCACUCUCCUUAACCCAGAUGAUGAAGGAUUUUGCUCAGUAAUUGGCAAUGUUGUUAGUAUAAGAAUUUCCCCCAGAAUGCAGGUUUAUUAUUGCUGUUGUUCUUCUUGUUGUCAAGACAGACUUUAGCUGUGUAAACACAGAUGGUCCCUUAAGCCCUGAGACUGCAGUUGUGUGCAAUUGCACCCAGCAAAAGGAAAGAAUUCACCUAUGGCAUGGCUCUGGGUUCCUCAAGCUGGAGUAUUUCCAAGCAAGCACUUUCAUUUUUAACGUCUGCAGUUCUAUGGAUGGAACCCUGGGCCCUGUGCACGGGCACAGCCAUGUUGUCACUGAGUCACACCCCCAGUCCUCAGGGCUCAAAGACAAUGGGGGGGGGGCGGUAGAGCAUGAAGAGGAGUAGUUAUAAGGUCUGUGUACCAGAAUCACCUCUCUCUCAGGGUCCUUGGAUACUUCUGGAUAAUCUGGGAGGUACCAGUUAAUUUCUUUAGAGGACUUGGAAAAAAAAAAAUCCAAGACUGUCUACAGAAAUAAGAGCAGUUUAAGUUUACCCCACCCCCAAGGAAAAGAUAUGCAAAGUGAGGGUGAGCCUACAGACAGCCAUGGGUACCUCGUGCCUAGCCUUGGGCUCUCAGCCCAGGUGCCCAAGGGCUGUGUCUGGAUGAUAGCUUUAGUUCUUGCCUGGUGUGCUUUUGGGAAACAGUGACAUUGAUAACACCUUUAGAGUCAUGGAGAGUUUUAGAUGGCGCUGCAAAGAUACUCAGUUAGGAGAGGGAAGUCUAAAAAUAGUUCCCAGAGAGGGCUCUUGAGGCCAUCUCCCCUGUUUUCCCUAUCUGUGUCGGACAGAGCAGCUGAGUACAGUCAUCCUCCCGGAGCAGGAGUGAAGAUGCUGUGUGGUAGACUGGGAAAGGGUCCAGAGACAGGACCUAGAGCUGGAGGCCAGAUCAAGUGAAGAGAUGGAAUCUUCCAGACCAGUGGUUCUCAAUGUUCCUAAUGCUGAGACCCUUCAGUACAGUUCCUCAUGUGAAAAUCUGAGAGGGAGAGCGAUGGCUAAUGACUCCUACACCUACAGAUGUUUCAGCAGGCUCUGUUGUCUGGUCCUUCAGAUUCAUUUGUUUGUUUGCUUUUGGAGACAGGGUUUCUCUUUGGAGUCCUGGCUGUCCUGGAACUUGCUGUGUAGACCAGGCUGGCCUCAAACUUCCUGAAUACUUGGAUUAAGGGCAUGUAUCACCAUGCCUGGCCUGUCUGAUUCGUCUGUAUCUGCCUCGUAAGGACAUCAAUGGCACCAGCUGCUGAACUCAGGAUGCCAAGAUACAUAACCUGAUUUUAUUUAGUCAUCGGCCAAGUUCUUCUGGAGCUGAGAGGUGCUCAACCGAUAGCUGGAGGAGCUCUCCCUCUAUUCCCUGAGUCAGAUGCCCUGGUGAGCAGGGACAGUCUCUGAAAUGUGUGGAGAAUCCAGGCUUUGCAGCGGCUUGUAUAUGCAGAUUUUGUGGAUGUAUGUGUGUGCACACUUGGUGUGUGUCUAGAGGCAACAUUGUGCCAUGAACUUGGCUGUACUUCCUCCACGCAGGAGAUGGGAUCUUGGCCUUGGCAGCGAGUGGGCGUACGUGUGGACUUGAGUCACAGUAGGCUCAGAAUCUGGGCUCAAGCAUCUGAAGGCCUGUCACCUGCAAGGCUCAUUAUAGAAGGGGCCAGGUGCUUGGAGUGUGCCCAAAGCCAUACUGACUGUGCUGUCAUGAGUUUGAAUAGUAUUCCUGUGAGAGCUAUAAAUAACAACUCUGAGCCCAAAGCCAGGGUUUUAGAAAGCCAUCCUUAAAUGCACAGUGCUUUACAGUCCCUGCUGUCCCUUCCCUGGGUGACUCAGCUCUCUAACCCAGUAGGCCCAGCCUGAUCCAGUAACCUUCAGGCUUGGCUAAAAAAGGAUAGAGCCAAAGCUGGUCUCAAGAACCCCAGUGAUCCCAUCAUCCAGUUACCAUGUGAGGUUUUGCUACUUUUUUUUUUUUUUGCCUCUGUUCCCUAGCGGAGACAUGGAUGAACAGGUCCUGUACCAAGAGGCAAGGGCACAGACGUUCCUAAUUGGUUGAUUCUCGGAAGCCUAUUCUAUGCAUUUGGGAUCACAAAAGGUUCUCCCAUCCUCAGAAUGGAUUGGCUCAGAUCCCAUUCCCUCUAAUCUCCAGUGUCCUGAAGCCACAGCACUCAGUCUUGGGAGUGGAAAUCCCAGGAUAAGGUCCUGCUAAAAGUAUGUUUUCCCCCUCACUCUCAGAUGUUUGGGCCAGUAGGAGAAAUAGAAAUGAAGAUAAUUUUCACUUUGGCUUAAGAAAUGACUACUCGAGGUCUGGAGAGAUGGCCUAGUGGUUAAAAGUACUAGCUGUUCUUCCAAAGAAUCCAGGUUUGAUUCUCAGCAGACUACAACAGUGUAUAACUACAGUUCCAGGGGAUCUGACUCUCUCUGGCCUUCGUGGGUACCAGGCAUGUAUGUGACUCGCAGACAUACAAGCAGACAAAACAAACCAUGUGCAUAGAAUAAAUAAUUAAAAAAAAAAGCACCCACGUCUAGUGCCUCAAAUGGCUGAAUAGAGUAUCAGAUGGCAAUAGGCUUAAACCUGGAGGUAAAGGUAUCGUGGGAGGCAGUGAGCUAGACACAGAGCUAGAUAUUGGAUUCUCUCAGCCCCACCCUCCACACCCGUGCCUGCUUUCUUUCUCCAAGUCUUUACUAGGCUCUUAGGACAACACUGUCUGAAGGAACAGCUGAAGGUUCAGAGGGUGCAUGGAAAGGCCAAAGGGUUUUUUUUUCAUUUUCUUCUUUUCUUUUUUAAGACUUCCAGGAGUGUGCAGAGUGCUGGCUUGGCCUUUUAGCCACAUGCCUUACCCCCGCUUGGAGCUCAGCGGUGUUUUUAUGCCAAGGCCCAUACACCUGGCUGUUCAAGCAGAAGGAAAAAAAAAUCCAUCAUUCAGGGUUGUUUUAAAAAUAGUGUAACUCUUUGAUUAAAUGGCCAAACAGCCCUGAGUCAAGGUUUCUUUGCUCUAGCCUGUGAUUUGUUCAACUGACCUAAUUUUAGUAUAGGGCUCUAAAUCUAAGAGGAAUGCAAUGAGGGUAACGAUUCCUUAAAUUGGUCAUGAAGUGUUGUCAUUCAACAUGCAUCGAUUAAGCCUGUGUGUGUGUGUUUGCAUACAUGUGUUUCCUUAUAUGUGUAUCCUCAAAAGCCUUCAGCUGCAAUAACACUUUAUGAUGCUGUCACCUAAAUUCUGGGUACAUGUUGUCCUAUGCUGACACUAAUAAACAAUCCUACACACACAGACAUACAUAUAAACAUAACACACACACACACACACACACACACACACACACACACACACACACACACUUCCUUGUACUCCAAACCCAUAGGGACCAACUUUAUAAAGGACAGAGAACAGAAUGUCUUAGUCACUCUCUACCUCAAGUCAUGGCCUCUCUGCCUGCCGUGGCCUGGCUUUGGUGGAUUCUGAGAACUUCCUCUAUACACUCACCCAGGCUUGGGAAGUUUCUAGUUCUCUGCUGCUUC